AUUAAUGUUGGAGAUGAUGCUAUACUUGCAAUGAUAUUGAAAAAAACACAGUAAUGUCCAUUUGUUCUUUCAAUCAAGGAGCACAUAAAACCUCUCUAAAAAUAGCAAAAUGGCAUCAGACAAUGGGGAGUAGAGUUACAGCCUGUUAAAAACAAAAUGUCCAUAUGUGAAGUUCAGCCUCAGAACAAAUGUCAGGUAAAGAUAGGUCACUGUAACAUUUGUCAGGCUAUGAGGCGGGCUCUGGAACAGCUGGGAAUGGCAAUAUGGUGAAUGCUGUCAUUGCUAAUGGGAAGGCCAAACUGAAACAUCAUAUUAUAUCAUAUACCAGAUUUGGGCUGACACUCUAUAGUACAGCAGGUUUAUGCUCCACUCUAGGAGGAUACAAUGAAAUCAUUUUCUUUUCAAUAUAAUUAAGAUCUAUAUUCAUCUUUUUGCUGCUGCCACAAAGCUACUAGGACCAGUGGGUUCAAUCCCUGGCAUGUGGUAUAGUUGACUCAAGAAUGCCAUAAGAACAUCUGACAAUUGUAGCAUAUUCUCCUUCUUCAAUAUGCUUGAUUGCAUCAAAACAUAAUCUUCAGGACAGCCAUGUCUUAUCUUCAACAAUGACAUAAAGCAGCAGGUUCCCCUCAUGUUGGUGCCAGUCUGCUCAUGAGCACACAUAGUGGAUGUGAACAUACACCCUGAUUAUUGCUGUAACCUUCUGGAUAACACCAUCCUUCUGUGUGAAGGUCUAAA